GUGGAUUUUCCUCAUUACUGCAGAGAACGCACUGUAAACUGACACGCUGUUGCCCUGCCUCAUCAUUUCUUUCCUGAAUUUCAGGAAGGUUUUCCCUUGUGAGUCGGGACCUGCUCAAGGUUUCUGCAACCAGUGUCUACCAAAAUAUCUUCGAAGCAUUACAGUCUCUCUCCCUCCAGAUCAACAUGCUGAAUGGCAUCCAGCCCUCUGACAAACCCAGUGUCUACUGUCAACAUCUGCCUAUGUCGUUCAUCUAUGUAGUGCAAGUAUAAUUAACUUGAACAACAUAUCAGCUAAAAUACAUAUAAAUACAAUGUAUAGAUUCUCAGCAUUUCUAUUAUAACAACCUGUCAUGUUUGUUCUUUGUCAUGUAUGAGGUUUAUUGUAUGUAUGUUCCCCUCUCUUUUUCAUCCUCUCUGUCCUGUCUACCUCCUCUUUUCCUCCUCUAAAAUUGCAUUUAAUUGAAUUGAAUUUAUAAACACAAUGGCAACAAAUUUAUA
rnacentral:lncRNA from 1 species